UCAAUUCAGUUUUAGUUCACUUGUUAGCAUCUGUGUAAUACAACUUCUUUUCAUGUUUGAUUCACUUGUUAGCAUUUGUGUGAUAAAUUUUUAAUUUAGAUUUUGUUAAGAUUUAAUUCAGUUGUUAGCAAAGUGAUGCUCUUUUAGCAGAUUAAUCUAUGUCUCUCUCUAGUCUUUUAAUAUUAGUAAUACACUCUUUAAUGAUGUGCAGAAAAAAUAUGACUAAUAUAGCGGUGAUGCUUUACUUCAAUGGACGAUGUGAUCCUAGCAACAAAUAUAUUAACUACUUGGCAGAUGGUGUGUUGAUACACAUAGAGUCAAUGUUUGCCACCCUCGUUUCUGUAAUUACUACUCAAUUGUCAAUAGACACAUCAACAAAUAAAGUUGAAAUCAGAUAUAAAAUUGAUGAAAGGUCUCCUCCAAUUCAAAUUCAUAAUGAUAUGGGGGUAAAGGUAUAUCUUGAAACUAAAAAGGAACAUCGAGAUAUGACAAAAUACCUUUUAUGUGUCACAACAACUGAACCAGUCAACUUGGAGACUAAUGCUGCACUCAUUCCACUUUUGUGUUCAGACACUUCAGGAGAUAUGAGGGUUAUACACAAUUCAUACUUCUCUAAUACAUUUAAUGGUAUUGAUGAAGCAAUAGGGUUAAUUGGAUUCAGAUCAUGUGAGAAAGUUGAUGAGCUAGAAGAAUUAGCACCAGGCAUCAUUAUUAAUCUCAAUCACUCUUUAUUUGAAAAAGAUCAGGUGUAUAAGAAUAAAUAUGUCCUCACUAGUGCACUAAAAAGACAUUUCAUUCUUAAUCAUUUUCAAUUUAAGAUAAUAAGAUCAAGCGCAAUAAGGUAAGACCUAAAUUCAAGUCACUUUAAAUUAUUAAUUGUGUAUUAAUAUUUUUUCUACAGCUAUUCGAUACAGUGCCUAGGAGAAAGUUGCCUAUUGGAGUUUACGAGCUUCAAGCUUGAACAAAUAUGAAAUGUUCAAGAUUAGAGAAUUCGAAAGCGAACACACUUGUUUUUUGCUAUAUAAUUCAUUAUCGGAAAAGCUAGCAAUUAAGAGUGUUGUUGGGAGUAUUAUUGUGGGUAAAUAUGCUGAACCAGAUGUUAUUUACACACCAAAAGACACACAACGUGACAUGUUAGCUGAAUAUGGUGUGCUACUCACAUAUAUGCAAGCUUGGAGAGCUAAAGAGGCAGCUCUUGAAUUAAUCCGGGGUGAUCCAAUUCAAUCAUAUGCAAAGUUGCCAAGCUACUUUCACAUACUAGAGGCAACUUACCCUGGUUCUCAUAUAAGAUUUCACAAAUCAGAGGAUGACCAUUUUUUAUAUGCGUUUGUAGCUUUGUUCACCUCAAUAAAAGGAAAAAGGAUGGGAAUAUUGUAGACCAAUUGUAGUUAUUUUGUAAUUUUCUUAAAAGGAGCAUACAAAGGGACACUGCUAACCACUAAUACCGUAGAUGCAGCAGGGAGUAUAUUGCCACUUGCAUAUGCUAUUGUCGAUUCAGAGAAUGAUUCAUCUUGGAGGUAGUUUUUUUAGCAAUUCAGAGAUGCUUUCGGUCAAAGACCAUAGAUGUGUAUCGUUUUCGAUAGGCAUGCAGUUAUUAAGGCAGUUUCAACAGUUUAUGAUGAAGUACCUCAUUUUGCAUGUAUGUGGCACUUAAUGCAAAACAUAAUG